UACGUAGGGGGCGAGCGUUGUCCGGAUUUACUGGGCGUAAAGCGCGUGUAGGCGGCCGGCUAAGUCGGGUGUGAAAGCCCGGGGCUCAAACCCCGGGGAUGCCCGCCCGAGACUGGUCGGCGUUGAGGACGGAAGAGGGGCGUGGAAUUCCUGGUGUAGCGGUGAAAUGACGCAGAUAUCAGGAGGAACACCGAUGGCGAAGGCAGGUCUCUGGGCCACUACUGACGCUGGAGAAGCGGAAAGCAUGGGGAGCGAACAGG
rnacentral:rRNA from 1 species